AGUUCAGUUGCCCACAUGGUGUUCGGCCAGAUACUGCAAUUUUUCCUUGCGGAACACAAAUGAAAUAGAAAAGAGGAAAAAAGUGCAAUGGUGAGAAAAUUGAUUGAGCCGCCGCUUCUUUAUUGCAUUUUGUGAGCUGGUUCUAGAAGCUCUGAGUUCUGUGGACGCUAGACUUAAAAGUAUCCCGGGAUGUCCUCUGACGAUUCUGUCUUCUGAGUAGCUUAGCAGCAUAAUAUUUAAUAACCCCUGAGUAAACACUGGAAGGAAUUGCUCAAUAAAUAAUUGAACAGAAAUUUAUAAAUUAUUUCCCCUCUUAAUCUACUCCAGUGCACUGCUGCAGGUCCCCCCCCCAGAAGUGAUGCUCAUCCCUCUGGACUGUCAGCGGGUCUGGCUUGUUACCUCAUGGGGGCGCUCUGGAUGUACUAAAGAAACCAUCCUCAACACUAGCCGUUUUUUUCUUUAAAAAAAAAAAUUGAACAGGGUCCAAACAGUGGAGGAAGCAGGAGAUGCUGACACAAUGUACGGCAGGGAGGACGAGGGGAGGCAUGGCAGAUCCUCCCUCCAUCACUCAUCACCGGAGAAAAUGAGGAAGACUUGGACACAAAGACGUGAGGCGUGAAGAGAAGAGGAGAGCAGCCGUGCAGAUAAUUAUCAGGGUGUUAUCCCGACACAAUGGAGCUGACGGACAGAGUCUCAUCUCGUCGGCUGCAGGAGGAUGAUGAAUCACUGGCCGCAGCACGUCUGCCAAACGUAGAAAAAUAGAUGCUAUUUAAGUCAUGAAUGCAAUUUUGCCUGCGAUCCAUUUACUCACCUACAUUCUCCUGUGAUUACACUAAAACACACACGUUUUUUCCCGCUUAAUCGAGUUGUUGGAAUUAUUGUGUGCUAACCUCCAGUAGCCCAUUCCUUCACACGUACACACACACAUACACACAGCACAGAGCCCGUGUUGUGAUUUAAAUGGUCGCAGGGCACUGAGCUCCUGUUUGCUUCACCUAUUCCCGGGGUGUUUGUUUGGCUUCAUGCAUACUGUGCUGUAAUAGAGCACAGUGAGGCUUCAAAAGCGGUCUGUUAACACACACACCAGACUGCCCUGUAAAAAACACAGGCUCUCUGAGCGGCUACAUGCAAUAUUCACUUGCUGUACAUGCAGCCAUUUUUGCGUAGGUGUGGACAGACAAGAAGAAAGAUGGAACAUUUUUUAUAGCCAUCAAGUUGCCCAUUAAGACUCUUGGGCAUUUUGAAUUAGUUCUGAUUCUUUUUACAAGCUCCCUGUAACGUCAGAUUUGGAAGGAAAAGAAGGUGAGAGAAAUAGAUGGAGGAAAAAGGACAAUAAGACAACCCUUCCCUGUUGAAAAUCUGUUCUUUUUUUUUGUCGACUGCUGGACAAUGAGAUUUUUCAAGUGCAGCUGUGCUUCCCAAUUAAACAGCCUGUUC